rnacentral:rRNA from 1 species
UACGUAGGUGGCGAGCGUUGUCCGGAUUUACUGGGCGUAAAGAGCGCGCAGGCGGUCGUCCAAGUCGCGUGUGAAAGCCCCCGGCUCAACUGGGGAGGGUCACGCGAUACUGAUCGACUCGAAGGCAGGAGAGGGUAGUGGAAUUCCCGGUGUAGUGGUGAAAUGCGUAGAUAUCGGGAGGAACACCAGUGGCGAAGGCGGCUUGCCAGAACGCACUCGACGGUGAGGGAUGAAAGCUGGGGGAGCAAACCGG